CGGGAAGGGUGUUCUGGGGAGAUGUGUUUGAGUGUUUUUCAGUGCAUACCGAUUUAUUUUUAGCUCCCGGAGAAGCAGGAUGUGCAAAGUGGGUUGUAUCAGCCCGGGAGGGGCAGGAGGUCUCCCUGUCCGCAGGAAAUAGUACACAAGUUUCUUGCUGCAGAUGCUUGCUUUAAAUUUUGUGCCGGGAGCAAAACGCCAUUUGGUUCUGCGAGGAUCUCCCCACCAGGGUCACUUUCUACCAGCGGGUGGGUCUGUUGGAGGCCCAGACCAGGUCGGCCGGGAGCACUCUUCUGUCCUUAAACGCCAGUCUCCACUGAAGGUGCGUGGUCCAUUGUAGG
rnacentral:lncRNA from 1 species